AUUGAACGCUGGCGGCAGGCCUAACACAUGCAAGUCGAGCGAGAGGCGGACGGGUGAGUAAUGUAUGGAGAUCUGCCUGAUGGAGGGGGAUAACUACUGGAAACGGUAGCUAAUACCGCAUACCAUCAGAUGAACCCAUAUGGGAUUAGCUUGUAGGUGAGGUAACGGCUCACCUAGGCGACGAUCCCUAGCUGGUCUGAGAGGAUGACAAGCAACACUGGGACUGAGGGACGGCCCCGACUCCAACGGGAGGAAGCAGUGGGGAAAAUUGAACAAUGGGGGCAACCCUGAUACAGCCAUGCCGCGUGUAUGAAGAAGGCCGUCGUGUGGUAAAGUACUUUAAGCUGGGAGGCGUUACCGGCAGAAGAAGCACCGGCUAACUCCGUGCCAGCAGCCGCGGUAAGAG
rnacentral:rRNA from 1 species